rnacentral:rRNA from 1 species
GAUGAACGCUAGCGGGAGGCCUAACACAUGCAAGCCGAGCGGUAUUUCUUCUUCGGGAGAGAGAGAGCGGCGUACGGGUGCGGAACACGUGUGCAACCUGCCUUUAUCUAGAGGAUAGCCUUUCGAAAGGAAGAUUAAUACUCUAUAAUAUAUUAAUUGGCAUCAAUUGAUAUUGAAAACUCCGGUGGAUAGAGAUGGGCACGCGCAAGAUUAGCUAGUUGGUGAGGUAACGGCUCAUCAAGGCAAUGAUCUUUAGGGGGCCUGAGAGGGUGAUCCCCCACACUGGUACGGAGACACGGACCAGACUCCUACGGGAGGCAGCAGUGAGGAAUAUUGGUCAAUGGGUGCAAGCCUGAACCAGCCAUCCCGCGUGAAGGAUUAAGGUCCUAUGGAUUGUAAACUUCUUUUGUAUAGGGAUAAACCUACCCUCGUGAGGGUAGCUGAAGGUACUAUACGAAUAAGCACCGGCUAACUCCGUGACAGCAGCCGCCGUAACAC